rnacentral:tRNA from 1 species
GCGGACGUGGUGGAAUGGUAGACACGCAAGCUUGAGGGGCUUGUCCUCGCAAGAGGGUGGGAGUUCAAGUCUCCCCGUCCGCA